rnacentral:rRNA from 1 species
CGGGAUAACAACCUGGAAACAGAUGCUAAUACCGGAUAACAACAGAUGAUGCCUAUCAACUGUUUAAAAGAUGGUUCUGCUAUCACUCUUGGAUGGACCUGCGGUGCAUUAGCUAGUUGGUAGGGUAACGGCCUACCAAGGCGAUGAUGCAUAGCCGAGUUGAGAGACUGAUCGGCCACAUUGGGACUGAGACACGGCCCAAACUCCUACGGGAGGCAGCAGA